AUUGAACGCUGGCGGCAGGCCUAACACAUGCAAGUCGAACGGUAACAGGAAGCAGCUUGCUGCUUCGCUGACGGGUGGCGUACGGGUUAGCAAUGUCUGUGAAGGGUAGUGGGGGAGGGCGAUAGCUACUGGGAACUGUAGCCAAUAACGCAUAAUGGGAGAAAGCGAAAGAGGUGGAGCUUCGAGGCUCUUACCAUCGCAUGGGCCCAGAUGGGAUUAGCUUGUUGGUGGGGUAACGGCACACCAAGGCGACGAUCCCUAGCUGGUCUGAGAGGAUGACCAGCCACACUGGAACUGAGACACGGUCCAGACUCCUACGGGAGGCAGCAGUGGGGAAUAUUGGACAAUGGGCGCAAGCCUGAUGCAGCCAUGCCGCGUGUAUGAAGAAGGCCUUCGGGUUGUAAAGUACUUUCAGCUGGGAGGAAGGGAGUAAAGUUAAUACCUUUGCUCAUUGACGUUACCCACAGAAGAAGCACCGGCUAACUCCGUG
rnacentral:rRNA from 1 species